rnacentral:misc_RNA from 1 species
AAGUCGUAACAAGGUUUCCGUAGGUGAACCUGCGGAAGGAUCAUCAAUUUAGUUUAAAUUUAACAAAUUUAAAAACAAUAGCUAAAGUUUUUAUAACUUUUAGCAACUGUCAUUUGGGUUCUUUGACAGUUAUUAGUCAUAGGGUUGACUGAAUAUUAAACUUUAACAAUUAUUUAUUUAUAUUAUGUUUUAGGGUUCCAAUUUAUAAUUAAUUAUUGUUUUAUAGUUAUUAAUCAUCGGGUUGAUUAAAUUAGACUAUUUAAUUUUUAUCGUAGGGUCGAUGAUUUUAUCUAAAGUCUUUUUUGCUUAAUUAAGCUUUUGACAAACUUUAAAAGUGACAAACUUUUAACCAUGGAUCUCUAGGCUCUU